rnacentral:tRNA from 1 species
GGCAGUGUGGUGCAACGGUAAGGGAACUGGCAUUGUAACCUGAAGGUCACAGGUUCGAUUCCUGUGUUAGACACUGCCG